UAGGGAAUAUUGGACAAUGGGCGAAAGCCUGAUCCAGCGAUGCCGCGUGAAUGAUGAAGGCCUUCGGGUCGUAAAGUUCUUUUCUGAGGGAAGAAUUGUCGGGCGAGGAAAUGCGCCGGAUUUGACGGUACCUCAGGAAUAAGCAACGGCUAACUCCGUGCCAGCAGCCGCGGUAAUACGGAGGUUGCAAGCGUUGUUCGGAAUAACUGGGCGUAAAGGGAGCGCAGGCGGCUUGGUCAGUCUAAAGUGAAAACCCAGGGCUCAACUCUGGGCGUGCUUUGGAUACUGCCAAGCUUGAGUACGUGAGAGGAGAUUGGAAUUCCAGGUGUAGCGGUGAAAUGCGUAGAUAUCUGGAGGAACACCGGUGGCGAAAGCGGAUCUCUGGCACGUUACUGACGCUGAGGCUCGAAAGCGUGGGGAGCAAACGGG
rnacentral:rRNA from 1 species